rnacentral:rRNA from 1 species
CCGCUUAGAAGCAAACGGGUGUAGUCAAGCUGCAAGCCUUAAGAAAUAGGUUGGUCAGAAUGGCGUGAGUCUGAGCACAUAGAGCUGCCAGGUAGGUCCGACUAUAUGUUGGGUUCGGCUCGCAAGGGUCGGAUGCGCGAAACGUUUACGCGUUGCGUGCCUACUUGUCAGUUGCUCUACUGGCCCUCUAAAUUUCUUUUGGCGUAUGUCACGACCGUCUUUGCUGUCGGUCUGCUCCAUUUAAACCGUUUCGUGAGUAGUUACGUGCUACUUGCGUUGCGGGGGCAGGUAGCUGAUCUGGUCUCGGCUGGAUUGGUGUAAUUGCUGAGUGGAGUGGUACCUGUAACUGUGCAGUAAGAUGGGGCUGGCGGUGCAUUGUUGCUGUGUGUGCUAAAGUGUGUCGGCGUGGUUGGCGUAUGGCUACUCGUUGCUGUUUCUAACAGCCUUGUGGUUGCCCGACUGCGGUUUGAUGCGCGGCUGCGCACGGUCAAUCUUUGCGUUGUGCCUAUAGUCUGUGGCGUA